ensembl:lincRNA
UGGGUAACCCUCCGGGAAGUGUAGCGUGCUGCGUAUUUGCAUAAAUCCCAGUGGAUUGGGUCACCCGCCGUGUGCCCACGGCUUGAACUCCCAGAGCUGCGCUGCUGGGGGCGAAUCGCUGGAAGAACGUUCGCCUGAGGAGUUCAGUGCUGAUGCUGCUCUUUUCCUUCCCAGCGGCAGAGUUCGGGGAGCCCACUUCCGAGCAGACGGGGACAGCUGCUGGGAAAACUGUUGCUCAAACCGCAGCCCCGGUGUCCUGGAAGCCCCAGGAUUCUUCGGAACAGCCACAGGAGAAGCUCUGCAAGAAUCCAUGUGCGAUGUUUGCUGCUGGAGAGAUCAAAACGCCGACAGGGGAGGGCCUUCUUGACUCACCCAGCAAAACCAUGUCUAUUAAAGAAAGAUUGGCACUGUUGAAGAAAAGCGGAGAGGAAGAUGGGAGAAACAGACUCAGCAGGAGGCAGGAGGGCGGCAAGGCUCCGGCCAGCAGCCUGCACACUCAGGAAGCAGGGCAGUCCCUCAUCAAGAAGGAAGAAGGAGGAGUUGCGGAUGAUAUUGCCAUUUCUAAUCUGCUUUGGCAGGUCACAGAAAGUCGAGAGAGCCAGAUGACGAUUGAGGAAAGGAAGCAGCUCAUCACUGUGAGAGAGGAGGCCUGGAAGACGAGAGGCAGAGGAGCGGCCAACGAUUCCACCCAGUUCACUGUGGCCGGCAGGAUGCUGAAGAAAGGUUUGGCAUCACCCACUGCCAUAACCCCAGUAGCCUCACCCAUUUGCAGUAAAACAAGAGGCACCACACCCGUUUCCAAACCCCUGGAAGAUAUCGAAGCCAGACCAGAUAUGCAGUUAGAAUCGGACCUGAAGUUGGACAGGCUGGAAACCUUUCUGAGAAGGCUGAAUAACAAAGGUACCUACCAGAAGCCAGAAGGUUUUGCUCUCAGAAUCUCUAAAUCCAAAUUCUGAUUGCUUUUCUUCCUCAGCUAAAUUGUUUUCUUUCCAUUAUGGCUUUACUAAGUCGUACUGUAAUCAUUAUCUUUGUUGUUAUCUUCAAAAAAUGAAGUUUUGGUCAAGACUGAUUAGACUAUCAACCCCUGAUUCACUUGAUAAUGUACUAAAUUGGGGGCCCCAAAAACACAUUUGCUCUUGAAUCUAAACUCUUGGGAUGCCAUCCAAUCGGAAUUGUGAACUGAGUGAUUUUGCUUAUAACUCUGAAAGCAGAUUAUUAUAUGUCGGCCAAAUCAACAUGAUCUUGGGCCUGGUGAACUUUAAAUUGUAUGUUAUCAGUUUCCAAUAAGCUAAAAGCUGAUGUUAUUUCUUAUAAUCACAAAUGAUUUCUAAAAGAAAAUUAUGGCAAAUGAAUAUUGAAAUAAAUAUUUCAAUAUAAAAGUCAAUGAAAUACACAAAAUAAAAGCAAUAUGCAGAAAUUGCCUUUUAUCUCUUGAUUAAAAUGUCCAAUCCAGGAAACUUACCAAAUACUAGGCACUGGGAGCCCCUCCUAUUGACAGUGACCACUAAAAGGUUGAAAAUAAUAAAACCACCACUGAACAGAAAUAUGAAAGUAUAAUAUAAUCACUAAACUAGCUAAGCAAGGAAUACCAAUCAGCAAAGCAUUUAUUACAAAUGUGGAACAGUGAUCUAGCCUUGGGUUAGCAAGCAAUGGCCAUUGCCAAAUCCAGCUGCCCACCUGCUUUUGUUUUUUGUUGUUGUUUGUUUUGUUUGUUUUUUAGAGACAGUGUCUUGCUCUGCCACCCAUGCUAGAGUUCAGUGGUCCAUCAUAGCUCACUGCAGCCUUGAACUCCUGGGCUCAAGCAAUCCUCCCACCUCAGCCUCCUGAGUAGCUCCAACUAUGGGUGUUCACCACCAAGCCUGGCUAAUUUUUUUACUUUUUCUGUUUUUGUAGAGAUGGGGUCCCACUAUGCUGCUCAGGCUGGUCUUGAAUUCCUGGGCUCAAGCAAUUCCCCUACCUUGCUCUCCUGAAGUGCUGACACUAUAAGCCUGAGCCACCAUGCCCAAACAUGUUAUUGUAAAUAAAGUUUUAUUGAGACACAUUCAUGCCAAUGUGAGCUUUUGCAUUAUAACAGCAGAACUGAGUAGUUGCAACACAGGCCCCAUGUCGCCCCUCCCCAUGCAAAGCCUAAAUGUUUACUGGCUGGCCCUUUUCAGAAGAAGUUUGCUGACCCUUGAUGUAGAAUGAGGCCGAGGCUGGUUCAUCCACCCGCAACAGAAGCAAGUGUAGGUUCAGAAGCGUUCAGUCGGCUCGUGUGUGCAGUAAGGUCAGCCUCCCUCUCUCCCACCAUGUUACUGCAGAAGAUUUGUUCAGGUGGGAAGUCCUUACGUCAGAGAUAGGUCAGAGAUUAAGUAAGGGCCUGGGAAGCAACCACAGGACCCUGUAUAUCACAAUCAUGUUUCCUCCACUCCGGGAACUUAGGAGGAAAUAGAAUCUUCAAACUAUUGUGAGGCAUAAUGGGAGUCCUUGUUUUUAUAAAACUCUUACGUCAUUUGCUUAUUUGUUGAUAGUAAGCGGGAUGCAAGAAACGGUGCUCACUGUCACCGGCAAAUCUGUGGAGGAGGUGAUGAAGGCGGAUGAUGAUGAAACCUUUGCCAGAUCUUACCACAGCGUGGAUUAUAAUACGCCCACAAGUCCUGUGGAGCUGGAUGAGGACUUCAAUGUCAUUUUCAAUCCUUAUGCACCCAAGUGAGUUAUUUGGGUCUGCGUCUUUCCUCCACUGAGAAGGGCUUCCUUCGCCUACACACAGCAUAUCCACCAGGCUCUUUCCCCAUGUGACCUCCUUCUCCUUCUAACUCCAUCACAGGGGCGUUAGUAUUCUAGAGCCAGGGCACGCUGUUGCAGGAGCCAGGGGCACAAAGCCUCCCAGCAGAUAAAACAUGCAGACGGCAGACCAGAUGUGCAGGCAGGCAGACCCGUGUGCCACAGGUGCUUGUCCUGUGCCAUAAAGAAAGUGUCAAUGGAUUUUUCACAUAACUUGAAUACUGUUUUGCAGUUUUUAGGUUUACAUCACUUAGCAGAGUUCAACGCCUGUCUUUCAUUUGACAUAUUUAAUUCUUACUCAUAACUUUGCAAAAUAUUUGGAUGAGAUGGGCUCAAAUUAGUACAGCUCACUAGAAAAUCAGUAAGGCAUGUUACUUAGCCUCCAAUCAUUUACAAAAUCAAUAGAUCUGCGGGUUUUCUCAGUGAUGACUAAGGGUUUCUCUUCCCACGGGAACAUGACUAAACCAACUAGGAAAAGUGAUUAUAGUAUUAGGAGUCCGUCAAUCUCAAGUGCCAGAAAAACAUCCCAAUUCAAACCGACUUCAACCAAAAAGAAAAAUGAGAGGGGUUUACUGGCUCACUGGCUGAACAGUGCGGAGGGGUUUACCAGCUCAUUCGCUGAACAGUGCGGAGGGGUUGACCGGCUCACUCGCUGAACAGUGCCGAGGGGUUGACCGGCUCACUCGCUGAAAAGUGUGGAUGUGGCCUCGGGUUCUAGCGGCCCCUCAGAACACAGUCUGUCUUGGCUUUGGGCUGGCCGCACUCUCCGUCAGGCAGUGGCCUGGCGGCAGAUGGACACCCCAGCUCUGGAGUCACAAGGCUGCCUCCCUGGCCAGCCCAGCACAGGUAGCUUCUCUUCCCAGUAGUCCCAGCAGAAUUUCCAGGUUUGAUUUUCUUGGCUUCAACUGGAGUCCCGUGUCCAUCCCUAAACCAGUCACUGUGGCCAAUGGGAUGGAAGAUGCCGACUGGCUAAAGGCGGGUCUCUGGGUCUCCUCUAGAGCCACGGUGGGGGCGCAGGGAGGUGGUUUCCCCAAAGGAAAAUCCAGAUGCUAUUACAGAAGCAGAGGAGGACACGCUGGACAGGCUCCACCCACGGCAGUCCACCACGCCCAUCGGGUCUUUCCUGCGAAAUUGUCAGAGUGACAAUCUCUUCCAUUAUCAUAUAUUUAAACUGCUCUCGAGAUAUUUUUUGCAUGUUUAAGUUUGUUCAAUUUGUUUCAAUUUGCAUAUUUUAAUUUCCUACCUUAAAAAAUGAACCCUUUGCCAUUUUCCACCUCAAAAUAGUAUUUUGGGUAUUUGCAUACGUAGCUAUUUAACCACUUCGCAAUCUUCCACCCACCUAAUGUCACUGUUUAAAUAGUUGUAUAUCAUAAUUUAAACAUGUAUGUAUGUUGAUACACACAUAUGACACCAUGGUAUGUAAAGAGGCCUUUCGGGCACAGAGGCCUGCGCAGCUGGAGGUGGAGAGUGGCAGCGGGAGUCUGUUGGGAGAUCGCUUCGCUCGGUCUGCUCACCUCCCCGGGUCUGGUUUUCCACCCCAGAGUUGUGAGAAUGUGGGGUGGUCACAGAUGGUUGCGGGCCCAUUUUAUUUCAGAUAUUCUUCCCAAAAGUGGUUUUUUU